CACACGACUCUCGGCAACGGAUAUCUCGGCUCUCGCAUCGAUGAAGAACGUAGCGAAAUGCGAUACCUGGUGUGAAUUGCAGAAUCCCGCGAACCAUCGAGUCUUUGAACGCAAGUUGCGCCCGAGGCCNUCCGGUCGAGGGCACGCCNGCCUGGGCGUCACG
rnacentral:rRNA from 1 species